AGUGAACGCUGGCGGUAGGCCUAACAUAUGCAAGUCGAACGGCAGCACAGUAAGAGCUUGCUCUUACGGGUGGCGAGUGGCGGACGGGUGAGGAAUACAUCGGAAUCUACUUUUUCGUGGGGGAUAACGUAGGGAAACUUACGCUAAUACCGCAUACGACCUACGGGUGAAAGCAGGGGAUCUUCGGACCUUGCGCGAUUGAAUGAGCCGCUGUCGGAUUAGCUAGUUGGCGGGGUAAAGGCCCACCAAGGCGACGAUCCGUAGCUGGUCUGAGAGGAUGAUCAGCCACACUGGAACUAAGACACGGUCCAGACUCCUACGGGAGGCAGCAGUGGGGAAUAGUGGACAAUGGGCGCAAGCCUGAUCCAGCCAUACCGCGUGGGUGAAGAAGGCCUUCGGGUUGUAAAGCCCUUUUGUUGGGAAAGAAAAGCAGCAGGUUAAGACCCCGCUGUUCUGACGGUACCCAAAGAAUAAGCACCGGCUAACUUCGUG
rnacentral:rRNA from 1 species